UACGAAGGGUGCAAACGUUGCUCGGAAUUAUUGGGCGUAAAGCGCACGUAGGCGGCUUAGCAAGUCCCAUGUGAAAGCCCCCGGCUCAACCGGGGAAGUGCAUCCGAAACUGGCAGGCUAGAGUACGAAAGAGGGUCGCGGAAUUCCCGGUGUAGAGGUGAAAUUCGUAGAUAUCGGGAGGAACACCGGUGGCGAAGGCGGCGACCUGGGUCGAUACUGACGCUGAGGUGCGAAAGCGUGGGGAGCAAACAGG
rnacentral:rRNA from 1 species